rnacentral:rRNA from 1 species
AACGAACGCUGGCGGCGUGCUUAACACAUGCAAGUCGAACGCGAAAGGGACUUCGGUCCUGAGUAAAGUGGCGCACGGGUGAGUAACGCGUAGAUAACCUGUCUUCAUGUCUGGAAUAAUACGCCAAAGGGGUACUAAUACCGGAUAUUCUUGCUUUUCAUAAGUUAUGCAAGCAAAGGUGGCCUCUGCAUAUGCUACUGCAUGAAGAGGGGUCUGCGUACCAUUAGCUAGUAGGUGGGGUAAUGGCCUACCUAGGCGACGAUGGUUAGCGGGUCUGAGAGGAUGAUCCGCCACACUGGCACUGGAACACGGGCCAGACUCCUACGGGAGGCAGCAGUGAGGAAUAUUGCGCAAUGGGGGAAACCCUGACGCAGCGACGCCGCGUGAGUGAGGAAAAGGCCUUCGGGUCGUAAAGCUCUGUCAAGAGGAAAGAAGUGUACAAUGGCUAAUACCUGUUGUAUUUGACGGUACCUCUAAAGGAAGCACCGGCUAACUCCGUGCCAGCAGCAGC